GAAUUUUGGACAAUGGGGGCAACCCUGAUCCAGCCAUCCCGCGUGUGCGAUGAAGGCCUUCGGGUUGUAAAGCACUUUUGGCGGGGAAAAAAGGCCCUGUCUAAAACCUGGACCUUCCGAACGGACCUGCAGGAUAAACCCCGGCCAACACCGUUCCACACGCCGCGGUCAUACGUAGGGUGCCAGCGUUAAUCGGAAUUACUGGGCGUAAAGCGUGCGCAGGCGGUUUGGCAAGAAGGAUGUGAAAUCCCAGGGCUUAACCUUGGAACUGCAUUCUUAACUGCCAGGCUAGAGUAUGUCAGAGGGGGGUAGAAUUCCACGUGUAGCAGUGAAAUGCGUAGAGAUGUGGAGGAAUACCGAUGGCGAAGGCAGCCCCCUGGGAUAAUACUGACGCUCAUGCACGAAAGCGUGGGGAGCAAACA
rnacentral:rRNA from 1 species